GAUGAACGCUGGCGGCGUGCCUAAUACAUGCAAGUCGAGCGAACGGACGAUAAGCUUGCUUCUCUGAUGUUAGCGGCGGACGGGUGAGUAACACGUGGAUCACCUACCUAUAAUACUGGGAUAACUUCGGGAAACCGGAGCUAAUACCGUAUGAUAUUUUGAACCGCAUGGUUCAAAAGUGAAUGACGGUCUUGCUGUCACUUAUAGAUGGAUCCGCGCUGCAUUAGCUAGUUGGUAAGGUAACGGCUUACCAAGGCAACGAUGCAUAGCCGACCUGAGAGGGUGAUCGGCCACACUGGAACUGAGACACGGUCCAGACUACUAAGGGAGGCAGCAGUAGGGAAUCUUCCGCAAUGGGCGAAAGCCUGACGGAGCAACGCCGCGUGAGUGAUGAAGGUCUUCGGAUCGUAAAACUCUGUUAUUAGGGAAGAACAUAUGUGUAAGUAACUGUGCACAUCUUGACGGUACCUAAUCAGAAAGCCACGGCUAACUACGUG
rnacentral:rRNA from 1 species